GCUCUACUGAGGAGUCCCACAAUAGGACAAAACGGCCGUCUAGUGC
rfam:Schistosoma margrebowiei strain Zambia genome assembly, scaffold: SMRZ_contig0003653